GGUCUCGAUGACCGGAAGGAAUCCCUUCCGGUCAUCGAGAAGAUUCGAAUUUUGAUGACCGGAAGGAAUCCCUUCCGGUCAUCGAGACC
rnacentral:miRNA from 1 species